rnacentral:rRNA from 1 species
UACGUAGGGUGCAAGCGUUAAUCGGAAUUACUGGGCGUAAAGCGUGCGCAGGCGGUUCUAUAAGACAGAUGUGAAAUCCCCGGGCUCAACCUGGGAACUGCAUUUGUGACUGUAGAGCUGGAGUACGGCAGAGGGGGAUGGAAUUCCGCGUGUAGCAGUGAAAUGCGUAGAUAUGCGGAGGAACACCGAUGGCGAAGGCAAUCCCCUGGGCCUGUACUGACGCUCAUGCACGAAAAGCGUGGGGAGCAAACAGG